rnacentral:rRNA from 1 species
GAUGAACGCUGGCGGCGUGCCUAAUACAUGCAAGUCGAGCGAACGGACGAGAAGCUUGCUUCUCUGAUGUUAGCGGCGGACGGGUGAGUAACACGUGGAUAACCUACCUAUAGGACUGGGAUAACUUCGGGAAACCGGAGCUAAUACCGGAUAAUAUUUUGAACCGCAUGGUUCAAAAGUGAAAGACGGUCUUGCUGUCACUUAUAGAUGGAUCCGCGCUGCAUUAGCUAGUUGGUAAGGUAACGGCUUACCAAGGCAACGAUGCAUAGCCGACCUGAGAGGGUGAUCGGCCACACUGGAACUGAGACACGGUCCAGACUCCUACGGGAGGCAGCAGUAGGGAAUCUUCCGCAAUGGGCGAAAGCCUGACGGAGCAACGCCGCGUGAGUGAUGAAGGUCUUCGGAUCGUAAAACUCUGUUAUUAGGGAAGAACAUAUGUGUAAGUAACUGUGCACAUCUUGACGGUACCUAAUCAGAAAGCCACGGCUAACUACGUGCCAGCAGCCGCGGUAAUACGUAGGUGGCAAGCGUUAUCCGGAAUUAUUGGGCGUAAAGCGCGCGUAGGCGGUUUUUUAAGUCUGAUGUGAAAGCCCACGGCUCAACCGUGGAGGGUCAUUGGAAACUGGAAAACUUGAGUGCAGAAGAGGAAAGUGGAAUUCCAUGUGUAGCGGUGAAAUGCGCAGAGAUAUGGAGGAACACCAGUGGCGAGGGCGACUUUCUGGUCUGUAACUGACGCUGAUGUGCGAAAGCGUGGGGAUCAAACAGGAUUAGAUACCCUGGUAGUCCACGCCGUAAACGAUGAGUGCUAAGUGUUAGGGGGUUUCCGCCCCUUAGUGCUGCAGCUAACGCAUUAAGCACUCCGCCUGGGGAGUACGACCGCAAGGUUGAAACUCAAAGGAAUUGACGGGGACCCGCACAAGCGGUGGAGCAUGUGGUUUAAUUCGAAGCAACGCGAAGAACCUUACCAAAUCUUGACAUCCCUUGACAACUCUAGAGAUAGAGCCUUCCCCUUCGGGGGACAAAGUGACAGGUGGUGCAUGGUUGUCGUCAGCUCGUGUCGUGAGAUGUUGGGUUAAGUCCCGCAACGAGCGCAACCCUUAAGCUUAGUUGCCAUCAUUAAGUUGGGCACUCUAAGUUGACUGCCGGUGACAAGCCGGAGGAAGGUGGGGAUGACGUCAAAUCAUCAUGCCCCUUAUGAUUUGGGCUACACACGUGCUACAAUGGACAAUACAAAGGGCAGCGAAACCGCGAGGUCAAGCAAAUCCCAUAAAGUUGUUCUCAGUUCGGAUUGUAGUCUGCAACUCGACUACAUGAAGCUGGAAUCGCUAGUAAUCGUAGAUCAGCAUGCUACGGUGAAUACGUUCCCGGGUCU